UAUGUAGAUUGUCAUGGCGCUCUGCUCAG
rnacentral:piRNA from 1 species